rnacentral:rRNA from 1 species
CCUACGGGAGGCAGCAGUGGGGAAUAUUGCGCAAUGGGCGAAAGCCUGACGCAGCGACGCAGCGUGAGGGAUGAAGGCCUUCGGGUUGUAAACCUCUUUCAGCGGGGACGAAGCGAAAGUGACGGUACCCGCAGAAGAAGCACCGGCUAACUACGUGCCAGCAGCCGCGGUAAUACGUAGGGUGCAAGCAUUGUCCGGAUUUAUUGGGCGUAAAGAGCUCGUAGGCGGCUUGUCACGUCGGGUGUGAAAACUUGGGGCUCAACCCCAAGCCUGCACUCGAUACGGGCUAGCUAGAGUGUUGCAGGGGAGACUGGAAUUCCUGGUGUAGCGGUGAAAUGCGCAGAUAUCAGGAGGAACACCGGUGGCGAAGGCGGGUCUCUGGGCAACUACUGACGCUGAGGAGCGAAAGCGUGGGGAGCGAACAGGAUUAGAUACCCUGGUAGUCCACGCCGUAAACGGUGGGCGCUAGGUGUGGGGAACCUUCCACGUUCUCUGUGCCGCNGCUACGCAUAAGCGCCCGCCGUCGGGAGGUACGGCCGCGAGACGUAAACCUACAAGGAAGUUAGACGGCGUGAGACGUGCCGAACGGACGACCGACCGAGGGGAGGUAGG